AUGGUGCCCGGUUAUACCGAUCUUGGAGAUUACCUGCCCGACGAUGUACAUUAUGAAAUCAUGGAGGUGGACGAACACAAAUACCAUUACGGGAAGCCUCUCGUCAAAGAUGUCAAAUCUCUAAGCACGAUGAUGCGAAGACUACAUGAUUGGUACAUGAAAACCUGCAGAGAGUCUGAUGGGAUGAGUACUUUAACGCUGAGAGUUAAACCGGAGCAUGACCUCGUUGGAAUUGAACUGCUGAAUGUUCCAUUUGAGGAUUUCCUCCAGUUUUACAAUCUAAAGUCCCUCGAUAAAACAACGAUCACUUGCUACUGUCUAUUGAAGAUCGCCGAAUUGAAGAAAAGACAAAUCGGUCAUAUUGGGUUCAUUAACACAAAUCUCAUAGAUGAUUAUCAGGUUAAAUUUCAUGCCAAAGAUACCGAGGCCAACUUGCUACAAUCGUUGGUAAUAAAUCAAAACAAAGAUAUAAUACUCUUUCCUUACAACUUCAACUUCCACUAUAUUCUCCUAGAGAUUAAGCUUGAGCCGGGAGUAGUAACCGUCUUAGACUCGAGAUGA
rnacentral:rRNA from 1 species